GGGCCCGCACAAGCGGUGGAGCAUGUGGUUUAAUUCGAUGAUACGCGAGGAACCUUACCAGGGCUUAAAUGUAAGUUGCAUUAGCUAGAGAUAGCUAUUUCUUCGGGACCACUUACAAGGUGCUGCAUGGUUGUCGUCAGCUCGUGCCGUGAGGUGUCAGGUUAAGUCCUAUAACGAGCGCAACCCCUGUUGUUAGUUGCCAGCGAGUCAUGUCGGGAACUCUAACAAGACUGCCGGUGCAAACCGUGAGGAAGGUGGGGAUGACGUCAAAUCAUCACGGCCCUUACGUCCUGGCUACACACGUGCUACAAUGGUCGGUACAGAGAGCAGCCACUGCGCGAGCAGGAGCG
rnacentral:rRNA from 1 species